rnacentral:rRNA from 2 species
UGGGGAAUAUUGCACAAUGGGGGAAACCCUAAUGCAGCGACGCCGCGUGAACGAAGAAGGUAUUCGUAUCGUAAAGUUCUGUCCUAUGGGAAGAUAAUGACAGUACCAUAGAAGAAAGCUCCGGCUAAAUACGUGCCAGCAGCCGCGGUAAUACGUAUGGAGCGAGCGUUGUCCGGAAUUAUUGGGCGUAAAGGGUACGCAGGCGGUUUAAUAAGUCGAAUGUUAAAGAUCGGGGCUCAACCCCGUAAAGCAUUGGAAACUGAUAAACUUGAGUAGUGGAGAGGAAAGUGGAAUUCCUAGUGUAGUGGUGAAAUACGUAGAUAUUAGGAGGAAUACCAGUAGCGAAGGCGACUUUCUGGACACAAACUGACGCUGAGGUACGAAAGCGUGGGGAGCAAACAGG